GAUGAAGAACGCAGCGAAAUGCGAUAAGUAGUGUGAAUUGCAGAAUUCAGUGAAUCAUCGAACCUUUGAACGCACAUUGCGCCCCUUGGUAUUCCAUGGGGCAUGCCUGUUCGAGCGUCAUUUGUACCUUCAAGCCUUGCUUGGUGUUGGGUGUUUGUCUCGCCUCUGCGCGCAGACUCGCCUCAAAACAAUUGGCAGCCGGCGUAUUGAUUUCGGAGCGCAGUACAUCUCGCGCUUUGCACUCAGAACGACGACGUCCAAAAGUACAUUUUUACACUCUUGACCUCGGAUCAGGUAGGGAUACCCGCUGAACUUAAGCAUAUCAAUAAGCGGAGGA
rnacentral:misc_RNA from 1 species